UACGUCGGGUGCGAGCGUUGUCCGGAAUUACUGGGCGUAAAGAGCUCGUAGGUGGUUUGUCGCGUUGUUCGUGAAAACUCACAGCUUAACUGUGGGCGUGCGGGCGAUACGGGCAGACUGGAGUACUGCAGGGGAGACUGGAAUUCCUGGUGUAGCGGUGGAAUGCGCAGAUAUCAGGAGGAACACCGGUGGCGAAGGCGGGUCUCUGGGCCGAUACUGACGCUGAGGAGCGAAAGCGUGGGGAGCGAACAGG
rnacentral:rRNA from 1 species